AUUGAACGCUGGCGGAAUGCUUUACACAUGCAAGUCGAACGGCAGCACGGACUUCGGUCUGGUGGCGAGUGGCGAACGGGUGAGUAAUGUAUCGGAACGUGCCCAGUCGUGGGGGAUAACGUAGUGAAAAUUACGCUAAUACCGCAUACGAUCUAUGGAUGAAAGCGAGGGAUCGCAAGACCUCGCGCGAUUGGAGCGGCCGAUAUCAGAUUAGGUAGUUGGUGGGGUAAAGGCCCACCAAGCCGACGAUCUGUAGCUGGUCUGAGAGGACGACCAGCCACACUGGAACUGAGACACGGUCCAGACUCCUACGGGAGGCAGCAGUGGGGAAUUUUGGACAAUGGGCGAAAGCCUGAUCCAGCCAUUCCGCGUGCAGGAUGAAGGCCCUCGGGUUGUAAACUGCUUUUGUACAGAACGAAAAGGUUUCUACUAAUACUAGGAGCUCAUGACGGUACUGUAAGAAUAAGCACCGGCUAACUACGUGCCAGCCGCCGCUGUAA
rnacentral:rRNA from 1 species